rnacentral:rRNA from 1 species
CCUACGGGAGGCUGCAGUGGGGAAUAUUGGACAAUGGGCGAAAGCCUGAUCCAGCCAUGCCGCGUGUGUGAAGAAGGCCUUCGGGUUGUAAAGCACUUUCAGUGGGGAAGAAAGCCUUGGGGCUAAUACCCUCGAGGAAGGACAUCACCCACAGAAGAAGCACCGGCUAACUCCGUGCCAGCAGCCGCGGUAAUACGGAGGGUGCGAGCGUUAAUCGGAAUUACUGGGCGUAAAGCGCGCGUAGGCGGUCUGAUAAGCCGGUUGUGAAAGCCCCGGGCUCAACCUGGGAACGGCAUCCGGAACUGUCAGGCUAGAGUGCAGGAGAGGAAGGUAGAAUUCCCGGUGUAGCGGUGAAAUGCGUAGAGAUCGGGAGGAAUACCAGUGGCGAAGGCGGCCUUCUGGACUGACACUGACGCUGAGGUGCGAAAGCGUGGGUAGCAAACAGGAUCAGAUACCCCAGUAGUC